GCCAAAUACCAGAGCGAAACCUGCUGAAAGGUCAAAGGUUAUUCCGAACAAUUCCUCUCGAAAUCAGAAAAAUGACACAGUGAGUGUGUGAGUACAAGGUUGUGUGAUGGUGUAGGUGUUUGUGGUGUGAGUGUGUGAGUACGAGGUUGUGUGAUGGUGUAGGUGUUUGUGGUGUGAGUGUGUGAUGGUGUAGGUGUUUGUGGUGUGAGUGUGUGAUGGUGUUUGUGCUUAAUGUGUGGAAGUGGUGUAUAAGCGUGAAACAU